GAAAAAAUAACACUGCCCUUUUAUGCUAUACUGUGAAUGAAUAUGACAGAUUAAGGUCAAAACAAUUAACCUAAGACUGCUAAAACAAGCAUGCUAAAUUUGGUCAGUUUAGUCAGGUUAAUUUUCAUUGCAGAGAACAAGCUUUGAUUUAAGCAGUUAAAAAGAGUCUGAUGGCCAUAAAUAAUAGUUCAAAUCCAUGCAUGGCCAAAUGAUAAAAAUAAUAACGGUGUCUGAAAAUUCAGUGAUUUGGAUGUAAGUUUUGUCUCAGUAAGUCUUUAGUUAAACCUUUUUCCAUGAUUAUUGGCAGAAAAAUGACUUAAGGUUCAGGAGACUAGUCUAUGUUUUGAAAAAUACAUAAAUUUGUCAAAUGGCUGAGACUAAAAAGUGACUGAAAGACUACUUUUGUUCCACAGAGAAUACCUAUGUAUUCCCUUCAUGUCAAUAAAUGUCCAUCUUCCACCCUGUUUAGCUAUAAAUAAAAAUAGUAGUUAACUUUUGACUAUGUACCACCUGCAGUACUCAGGUGUUACCACCAUGUUUUAGUAGUCAGCGUCUCCUUCUCAUGUCAUCAGGGAGUGCCCAUCAGAAAAUUGCUCGCUGCCUUGUUUCACAUUACCAGUUUAAUUAGCUAAUGAGAAACACCUUGCAAACCAUACAAUAUAAGCUUCUUCUAAUGUUGUACUCCCCUUUACUAUUCCUCUCCAGACCUGUUCACUGAGGGCUACCUUUCUCGUGGUCAGCAGAUUUGCUAAUUCUAAGGCAGUGUUUACUGCUUACAGCUAUUGGGAUGGUAAAAAGGAGACAAUUUGAUGCAAAAAAACAGGUUGUGUUGUCCCUGUUCCUGAGCCAGAAACUCCCUGGGAGUCUUUCUACUGGUUGCGCUUGACCUGCUCGCAAGUGAGCACUUGUGAUCUUCAAAGGCACUUACCUGAGAUCUUGAAGUUAAGAGUCUAGACUCCCAGUAGCCCUUCUCUAAUCCUAAAACAGAAAAGAAAUUCCAGUCAAAAUCUGAAAACCUGUGCAAAGUGGAUGGACCCUCUUCAUGAUGUACUGUCAGAGUUUGGUUUCUGUGUGAAAACUUUCACCCAGAGCUGUAAAAACCCCCAAAAGGAGCUGGGCAUAGAACUCUCAUAUUUUUCUAAUAAAUUGCUGUUUGUCUGCUGA